rnacentral:rRNA from 1 species
GACGAACGCUGGCGGCGUGCCUAAUACAUGCGAGUUGAGCGCUGAAGGUUGGUACUUGUACCAACUGGAUUAGCAGCGAACGGGUGAGUAACGCGUGGGGAAUCUGCCUUUGAGCGGGGGGCAACAUUUGGAAACGAAUGCUAAUACCGCAUAAAAACUUUAAACACAAGUUUUAAGUUUGAAAGAUGCAAUUGCAUCACUCAAAGAUGAUCCCGCGUUGUAUUAGCUAGUUGGUGAGGUAAAGGCUCACCAAGGCGAUGAUACAUAGCCGACCUGAGAAGGUGAUCGGGCAAAUUGGGACUGGGACACGGCCCCAAAUCCUACGGGAGGCAGCAGUAGGGAAACUUCGGCAAUGGACGAAAGUCCGACCGAGCAACGCCGCGUGGGUGAAGGAGGUUUUCGGAUCGUAAAACUCUGUUGGUAGAGAAGAACGUUGGUGAGGGUGGAAAGCUCAUCAAGUGACGGUAACUACCCAGAAAGGGACGGCUAACUACGUG